CUCUUUUGGGUUGCCUUCUUUGGAAAACAGAGCUUAAUUAGGAUUUGAUCAAAUGUCUGUCAUGCCCUAGGCCAAGAUUGCAAGCCAACAGUUGCAGCAACCACUGUAUACUCAUGGAGAACUCUCUCCACAAGUAUACAAGAUAUUCCAACAUGAUAUCACGAGGCAACAAUAGAACAAAUAAUCAAUAAAUUAAUCUUC
rnacentral:lncRNA from 1 species